rnacentral:misc_RNA from 1 species
GAUGAAGAACGCAGCGAAAUGCGAUAAGUAAUGUGAAUUGCAGAAUUCAGUGAAUCAUCGAAUCUUUGAACGCACAUUGCGCCCGCCAGUAUUCUGGCGGGCAUGCCUGUCCGAGCGUCAUUUCAACCAUCAAGCCCCCGGGCUUGUGUUGGGGACCUGCGGCUGCCCGCAGGCCCUGAAAACCAGUGGCGGGCUCGCUAUCACACCGAGUGCAGUAGUUUACUCUUCGCUCAGGGCGUGUGGCGGGUGCUAGCCGUGAAACCCCCAACUUCUCAAGGUUGACCUCGGAUCAGGUAGGAAUACCCGCUGAACUUAAGCAUAUCAAUAAGCGGAGGA